GUGCUCGCUUCGGCAGCACAUAUACUAAAAUUGGAAAGAUACAGAGAAGAUUAGGAUGGCCCCUGCACAAGGAUGACAUGCAAAUUCGUGAAGCAUUCCAUAUUAAA
rnacentral:snRNA from 1 species